rnacentral:rRNA from 1 species
AGAGUUUGAUCCUGGCUCAGGAUGAACGCUAGCUACAGGCUUAACACAUGCAAGUCGAGGGGAAACGACAUCGAAAGCUUGCUUUUGAUGGGCGUCGACCGGCGCACGGGUGAGUAACGCGUAUCCAACCUGCCCAUCACUUGGGGAUAACCUUGCGAAAGUAAGACUAAUACCCAAUGACGUCUCUAGAAGACAUCUGAAAGAGAUUAAAGAUUUAUCGGUGAUGGAUGGGGAUGCGUCUGGUUAGCUUGUUGGCGGGGUAACGGCCACCAAGGCGACGAUCAGUAGGGGUUCUGAGAGGAGGUCCCCANAUUGGAACUGAGACACGGUCCAAACUCCUACGGGAGGCA